rnacentral:rRNA from 1 species
CAGUCGCCGCGGUAAUACAGAGGGUGCAAGCGUUAAUCGGAAUUACUGGGCGUAAAGCGCGCGUAGGUUGUUUGUUAAGUUGGAUGUGAAAGCCCCGGGCUCAACCUGGGAACUGCAUCCAAAACUGGCAAGCUAGAGUACGGUAGAGGGUGGUGGAAUUUCCUGUGUAGCGGUGAAAUGCGUAGAUAUAGGAAGGAACACCAGUGGCGAAGGCGACCACCUGGACUGAUACUGACACUGAGGUGCGAAAGCGUGGGGAGCAAACAGGAUUAGAGACCCCAGUAGUCCCUGUCUCUUAUAA